GGGGAGUACGUCGGCAACGAUGAAACUCAAAGGAAUUGACGGGGGCCCGCACAAGCGGUGGAGCAUGUGGCUCAAUUCGAUGCAACGCGAGGAACCUUACCUGGGCUCGAAGCGCAGUGGACCGGGGUAGAAAUAUCCCUUCCCCUUAAAAGGCUGCUGCGGAGGUGCUGCAUGGCUGUCGUCAGCUCGUGUCGUGAGAUGUUGGGUUAAGUCCCGCAACGAGCGCAACCCUUAUCCCUAGUUGCCAUCGGGUCAAGCCGGGCACUCUAGUGAAACUGCCUGGGAUAACCAGGAGGAAGGUGGGGAUGACGUUUACCGACAGCU
rnacentral:misc_RNA from 1 species